GUUUACCUUCACAACCGAGAUGUUGGAGCUCAGGAGGCAGUCUACAAGCUCAGCAACAUGCACUUAAAAGAGUGCUCUCGGAAGGUGGUUUUUGUACCGACAGGUGACAAUGUUGUCAGGAUCAGCAAGCCAUUGACUGUGUUAAAAGACAUGGCUGCUGAAUCCACAGAACAGAUGUGGAUGAUCAACUUUGUUGACCGUUAUAAAAACAGACCCAGAGAUCAUAUAUUUGAAGCCAUGUGCCUUGUCCAUUUUGCUGCUGAGUAUCGUGUGCUCUACAAAGGUGAAAAAUCAAAAAACCGAAUUGAACUUGAUAACGGCUGUGGGUUUGUGUUGAGAAGAACCCGUACGCAGCCUGCUGUUGUAAGGUACGCAAGAUUCUCUGAGACUAAAAGUCCAGAGUUAUUUCACCAAAGCAUUUUGCAGCUGUUUCUUCCGUAUCGUACAGAAGAACAGCUAAAGCCAGAGGGAUUUGUCACUUUUGAAGACUUUUACAAAACUGGCCGUGUCAUCAUUGCUGAUGGACAGCUACGUUCAGUGAAGUCAGUUGUGGACUCGAAUCGCUGCAAUUAUGAAAUAGAUGCUGAUGACUUAGAUGAGGUUUUGGAUUCUGUAAAUUUUGAU
rnacentral:lncRNA from 1 species